rnacentral:snRNA from 1 species
GUACUUGCUUUGGCAGUACAUAUACUAAAAUUGGAACGAUACAGAGAAGAUGACACGCAAAAUCGUGAAGCGUUCCACAUUAUU